CAACAGAAUCAGGAGAGGCAGCUGAGGUGUUAAGACCAAUGCUUGGAGGCAAUGAUGUGGGCCAAUAAACUGAGGCGUAAUUCUGAAAAGAUAGAGAUGAAGCUCCUGAGCUACAGGAGGCCUGAAGGCCUAGGCCUGCAUUGCAUACAUACAGCCUACAAAGCCUUCAUACAUAACAGCCUUACAGCAGCUAGCACCCGUGCACCAUACAAAGGAAGGAAAAGAGAACCCAUCGCCCAGAGGGGGGAUACUGGUGUGACUA